CCGCCUCUUCCGGGAAAGGGCGGAAGGAGCGGACCAAUGGAGACCGGAUCCUAGGGAAGGCACCUUGGAUCGUUCUGAGAGACUGUGUACACACCCUCAGGUGACUCCAGGCCACCUGAGAGUGACGGAGGAGGCGGGUAGCCAUUAUGCCUUUUCAUCAGCAAGAGCUCUGACUGGACCCAUGUCUGAAGUGUUACCGCAUGGGUUGCCAAGAUUUCUCUGUGUAGCCCUGGCUAUCCUGGAACUUGAUCUAUAGACUAGGCUGAACUCAGUCUCCAAGAUCUUCCUUCCACUGUCUACCAAGUGCUGGGAUUAAAGGCAUGUGCCACCACA